ACGCUGGCGGCGUGCCUAAUACAUGCAAGUCGAGCGAACGGACGAGAAGCUUGCUUCUCUGAUGUUAGCGGCGGACGGGUGAGUAACACGUGGAUAACCUACCUAUAAGACUGGGAUAACUUCGGGAAACCGGAGCUAAUACCGGAUAAUAUUUUGAACCGCAUGGUUCAAAAGUGAAAGGCGGUCUUGCUGUCACUUAUAGAUGGAUCCGCGCUGCAUUAGCUAGUUGGUAAGGUAACGGCUUACCAAGGCAACGAUGCAUAGCCGACCUGAGAGGGUGAUCGGCCACACUGGAACUGAGACACGGUCCAGACUCCUACGGGAGGCAGCAGUAGGGAAUCUUCCGCAAUGGGCGAAAGCCUGACGGAGCAACGCCGCGUGAGUGAUGAAGGUCUUCGGAUCGUAAAACUCUGUUAUUAGGGAAGAACAUAUGUGUAAGUAACUGUGCACAUCUUGACGGUACCUAAUCAGAAAGCCACGGCUAACUACGUGCCAGCAGCCGCGGUAAUACGUAGGUGGCAAGCGUUAUCCGGAAUUAUUGGGCGUAAAGCGCGCGUAGGCGGUUUUUUAAGUCUGAUGUGAAAGCCCACGGCUCAACCGUGGAGGGUCAUUGGAAACUGGAAAACUUGAGUGCAGAAGAGGAAAGUGGAAUUCCAUGUGUAGCGGUGAAAUGCGCAGAGAUAUGGAGGAACACCAGUGGCGAAGGCGACUUUCUGGUCUGUAACUGACGCUGAUGUGCGAAAGCGUG
rnacentral:rRNA from 1 species